rnacentral:misc_RNA from 1 species
GUAGGUGAACCUGCGGAAGGAUCAUUAACAAAUCGAUUGGGGGUGGGUGGGCAAGUUUGGGGUCAAACCCGGGCAAAGCCCACCCGUCCCACAUGAACCCGAACCCGUGCAGCAAUGCCGGGCGAGGUGCGCACCUAGGUGCGCGGUGAGGAGUGCGUGUGUGCAAUGUAACAUGUGCGCAGCACGCACCCCGAUCCACAUAGACGCUUGUAUGUUUGACAGAGUUAGUUGACACUUUAAAAUGACAACU